UACGUAGGGGGCGAGCGUUGUCCGGAUUUACUGGGCGUAAAGCGCGUGUAGGUGGAUUGGUGUGUCAGAUGUGAAAUCCCUGGGCUCAACCCAGGAACUGCACCUGAAACUACCAGUCUUGAGUGGUGGAGAGGGAAGUGGAAUUCCUGGUGUAGAGGUGAAAUUCGUAGAUAUCAGGAGGAACACCAGUGGCGAAGGCGGCUUCCUGGACACCAACUGACGCUGAGACGCGAAAGCGUGGGGAGCAAACAGG
rnacentral:rRNA from 1 species